UACAGAGGUGGCAAGCGUUGUUCGGAAUUACUGGGCGUAAAGGGCGCGUAGGCGGUCCGAUAAGUCCCGUGUGAAAUCCCUCGGCUCAACUGAGGAAUGGCACGGGAAACUGCCGGGCUUGAGUUCGGGAGAGGGAAGCGGAAUUCCGGGUGUAGCGGUGAAAUGCGUAGAUAUCCGGAGGAACACCGGUGGCGAAGGCGGCUUCCUGGACCAGCACCGACGUUCAGGCACGAAAGCGUGGGGAGCAAACAGG
rnacentral:rRNA from 1 species